GUCCCUAACCCUGCCCUGCUCACGCCAGCAGAGCCAAGACUGAAGGUCAUAAGACAUUCAUUCCAGAGAGAGUCCUGCCCCACCUCUGAGAAGGAAGGAAUGUACACUCAAGAGAGAUCAAGAAGAAUCUAAACAAACAGGCCCUUCUGCGUUUUCCCACAAGAGAAAAUGAUCUAAUUAACAUUCGAUCAUAACUUUUUGUCCAAUUAUAUUUCUACACUGCUGUUCAUACUUUAUUUAACCUAGGCAUAAAAAUUGACAAUUUUUAUUGUAUUUUUGGCUCUUCAUUCUGAAGGCUUCCAUGUAUACAUGUUAAAUAAAUUUG
rnacentral:lncRNA from 10 species